rnacentral:lncRNA from 1 species
GGCCGCGCGGGCCGACUCGCCGGCGGCGGGCGACGCGCCGGAGUACCGGAACCACACCGUGGGCGGCGCCGACGGCUGGUUCUUCGACGCCAAGGCCAACGCCACCUCCGGGAACUACUCCGGUUGGGCCAACGGCGAGACCUUCUACCUCGGCGACUACCUUAGUACGUCUUUUCUUGCUUGGCUCCUCUCCCCAUCAUUUCCCUUUCAAUUUAGUACUCCCACCUUGCUUGUCUGCACAAGUGCUUUCAGUUUUCAGCGAGUGACCCAGUAUACUUCCACUAUUGAAAAAAGCUGAAACCUGCAAUGUACCAUGACUCCAUGAGAAAAGGAAGCUGAUCAAGUAGCAUUCUAGGUUCAAGAAAAGGUUCAUCACUUCAUCGUGAUGCCUUAAUUCGGUAUUCCAAGUAAAUGUGAUGCUGGAAAACUUGAACUGUAUAAAUUUGUCUUCAGAAAGGCGGAGUUUGAAUUCAAACUGGUAGAAGUUUAGUUUGAGAAUGGUGAAUGAUGUUGUCCUUAACACAGCAGUAGGUCAAAUUAGAAUCUGGCAAUCCUGAAUCCACUGCCGGACUUGUAAUAAACGAUCCAUUUAGUAUUAUGAACAGCUAAACAACUAGGAAAUUUGAAUUCAGAUCCAGAUCUGAGCACCAGCCCGGUCAAAAUCGAGAAGCUGUCAUGCCACGUGCGCCAAGCACCUCCCCAAAUGGGAAUCCACUGCUGCACGUGCUGAUCCAUCAAAUGAAAGGUUGUUUUUUUUUUUUUGUAAGUCAUCUACUUGAAAGCUCAAACUAUAUUACCACAAAGUGAUUUCUCUGAUUGAAAACAGCUAAGAAAAAUCAUAUAUGCCAUUUUUCUAGAACAGAGGAUCCUGGCCCCGUAUAAGUAGCACAUUGCUGGGUGAAUUCGACAUAUUUGAAUUUGAUGAAUACCGCACAAACAUUGUAUUGACUAAAUUAAGUAAUUCAACCAAAAGCUGACCGUUCUUUUUGCCCAUGAUUUCGCCAUUACCAGUAUUCAAGACGAACGACAACUCGUCGGUGGUGCAGACCACUAACGCCACCACCUACGACCUCUGCGACCCCAGCGACGACCCGGAAACCUUAAUCUACGGCGGCGGCGGCGGCGGGGGCGGCGGCCUCGAGCAGAACAACACCAUCCCGGUCGCUCUCGUUCUCGAGGGCACCAACUACUUCUUCUCCGACGCCGACGGCGGCUCCCAGUGCCAGCA